UACGUAGGGAGCAAGCGUUGUCCGGAAUCAUUGGGCGUAAAGAGCGUGUAGGCGGCCCGGUUAGUCCGCUGUGAAAGUCCAGGGCUCAACCCUGGAAUGCCGGUGGAUACUGUCGGGCUAGAGUCCGGAAGGGGCGAGUGGAAUUCCUGGUGUAGCGGUGAAAUGCGCAGAUAUCAGGAGGAACACCAAUGGCGAAGGCAGCUCGCUGGGACGUGACUGACGCUGAGACGCGAAAGCGUGGGGAGCAAACAGG
rnacentral:rRNA from 1 species